AGGGUUUGAUCAUGGCUCAGAUUGAACGCUGGCGGUAGGCUUAACACAUGCAAGUCGUGCGAGAAAGUACCUUCGGGUGCGAGUAGAGCGGCGGACGGGUGAGUAACGCGUAGGAAUCUACCUAGUAGAAGGGGAUAGCCCGGGGAAACUCGGAUUAAUACCGUAUACCUCCUUAGGGAGAAAGAGGGCUUAGCUUUGAUGCUCUCGCUAUUAGAUGAGCCUGCGUAAGAUUAGCUUGUUGGUGAGGUAAUGGCUCACCAAGGCGACGAUCUUUAGCUGGUCUGAGAGGACGAUCAGCCACAUUGGGACUGAGACACGGCCCAGACUCCUACGGGAGGCAGCAGUGGGGAAUAUUGGACAAUGGGCGCAAGCCUGAUCCAGCCAUACCGCGUGUGUGAAGAAGGCUUUCGGGUUGUAAAGCACUUUAAGUAAGGAGGAAAAGAUUGUAGUUAAUACCUGCAAUCCGUGACGUUACUUACAGAAUAAGGACCGGCUAAUUCCGUGCCAGCAGCCGCGGUAAUACGGAAGGUCCAAGCGUUAAUCGGAAUUACUGGGCGUAAAGCGCGCGUAGGUGGUUUUUUAAGUUGGAUGUGAAAGCCCUGGGCUCAACCUAGGAACUGCAUCCAAAACUAGAUGACUAGAGUACGAAAGAGGGAAGUAGAAUUCACAGUGUAGCGGUGGAAUGCGUAGAUAUUGUGAA
rnacentral:rRNA from 1 species